UGGGGUAGUAAGGUACUAUGAGCUCUUUAAGAUAAGGUGGUGCCUGACCAUUAAGAGCUUUGUAGGUAAGAAGAAUGAUUUUAAAUUCUAUUCUGGAUUUUACAGGAAGGGCCUGCAUCUUUGAAGGCACACUUCCUGAUUCCAGCAGGUGGCGCUAGGAGGUGAAGUGAAUUUUGACUUGUAGAUGUGUUUAGGGCGUGACCCUUAUCAAAUAUAUUAAAUUUGGUAGAGAUAUGAGCAUGUACAGCGAAGUUACAACAACUUCCUGUGUCAUAGCGAAGCAUUGAACUUUGACGCCACGCCAAAGACACGCCGUUAUCCGAAAACUCAAGCAUCAUCAAUGUCUUAAGGCUCUUCUGAGGCACGGGCUCCCCCCCAAACCCGCCACCGAUUACAGUAGUAAAACAUCAAACAUGUAAGCUGAACUCUUGCUAAGGGACAUCGAUAUAGUAUCAGUUGAAAAGUGAAAAUACUCCCUAACAUGUUUCAUGUUUCACAUGAAAUGUUGAAAAGUCAUUAUGCAGUGUGUUUCUGUGUGCAGCAGUAUUUUCACUUUCUACCUCACACUUAGAGCCAAAAUUGUUUUAAGAGUGCCUUGUUUGCUGCUCUGAUAUACAUCUAGUUUAAACACAGAAGAAUGUGCGCACAUCCAAACCAUCCUGUGGGUAAGUGCUGAAAUAAAGAAUGACCUGCAAUGAGUAUUAUUUGUAUUAUUAUGAAUCCAACUAGGUGGUAACCAAUCUGCUGAAAUACAGCAGAAUCCACAGUGUCUGCUGUCCGAGAGCAUGUUAGCCUCGAUAAGAGGGCAUGUUUUAGCAGUACUGUAGAAGGUGUGACGACAAGCCUGUCAAUAUUUAAACAUGUACUGCAGCAAAAUACUUUUCUAAGCCUAAAUCUAAGACAAAGUGUCUAGUUUAUUUAUCGGUAGGAUUAUCGAGAGGAACUUCAAUAGUUACAAUUAGUUAACAAACAUCAUCAAACAAAUGACAUUUAAGCAUACAAACGCAGCAUCCAAAACACAACAGAGUAAAAAAGUAGCGAAUUAUUUGAAAUAGUUUUUACAAAAAUACAGUGACUGAUAAGUGUUGGGAAGCACAGAGAAGUCAGUGCUAACUUUGGGGCUAACCUCCUUCACUUUAUUCAACAGUUAGCAGCAACACACGGGAGCGGGAGCUCCUCUUUAGUCCUGUGAAGCUGCAGUCUUUAUUCACCAGCCACUGUAACUUGUACUGUACAUUUACUGCUGAACAAGGAGCUGACCGUUUCUCUCUAUUCACCGGGGCUCCGUUCAGACACACGCGCUUCGUCUAUUUCUCCUCUUCCACACACACACUGACCACUGCGGCAAAGCUAACAUAGCUAAUCAGCCGGGACCAUCACAAACAUGACAACAGACACACAAGACAGUAAUACUGAAGCUGUCGUUUAUGUGGAACAGCAAAGCUAACUUUACUCACCUGUCAAGCAGAAACAGAGCAACCUCAGCAUCAAUUUUCCUUCCUUUCAAAUCUUGUAGAUUUAUCCAGCAUUGAAACCCCUCACAGAUGUUAACACAGGUCUUCCCCUCGCCUGUAGGGCUGAACGAUUUUGGAAAAUUCAUUAAUUCAUAGCUUUCUUCUAUUGCCAAUAUUUAUUUAUUUAUUUAUUUAACAGGAACAAUGCACAAUAUAUGUACUGUACCAGAUUUAGCUAAAAGCUCAUUUCCAUCUGCAGUCCCUGGGCAGAUGCCAAUAGCGUGCAAAAUAUUACAAAAAAAAAAAAAAAAAAAGAUAUAAUCCCAAAACCAAACCUUACAUUUCAUAAAUAUAUAGAUAACUGCCAACCAAUUCAAAAAAGCCACAUCUUACGGAAGCGUCUUGAUGCCAUGGCAGAAAGAGAAAAGCAGAUCAGUAUCAUGUUAUAACAUGAAAAGUUUGUUGUUAUAACAACAUAUUUUUCACGUUAUAACAUGAUAAGUUUAUUGUUAUAACAAUAUGUUUUUUACGUUAUUACAACAUAAAAACAUAUCACGUUAUUACAAGAACAGUUCCUUGUUAUAUCAAUAUAUAUUUAUCUUUAAACUGUUUGUUAUAAUGUGGGUGGAGGUGGAUUUCCCAGGAUGAACUGGCAUGACAAUGGCCCGCAACACGGAUACCCCACUGUUGAAAUUUCUACGAAAUCGCGGUUUAUCAGAAGAGUGCCUCUCACACAUGGAACAAGAACAUAUUGAUGCCACAGUCAUUGACAUAAUGGAUGAUGACACUCUUGCUGGCUACAUUCCAGCAUAUGGAGAUCGAAUAGCAGCAAGACGGUUCUGUUUGGAAAAUAAAGGUACAAGUACAAAAGAAUCCAGGAAACAUUCCCUGCUUGAAAAACUAAAGAAAAAGAUGGGCAUUGAUGGAAAUGAUGAUAAGAACACUGACCAAGAGGAGACUUUUGUUGCUCCAAAGCGGAAAAGAACUCAUGCAACAAACAACAAAUGGGCUGAAAAGAAGACCAGAAAAGUUGAGUUGGGGUGGAUUCAUGAAGGUAAACAAGUAAGAAAACGCAGAGGAGGGGGAACAAGGACCCUUGAUAUACCCAAAGAAUCAAAAAAAGCUGACAUAUUACAGUGCGCUAAAGACCUUUUCUUCCCAAACGGGAAAAGUAAAUUUGGAAGAUUUGAGACAUUCAGUCAUGACAUAUUAGACUAUCAGGAGGAAGCUGUGUUUGAUGAAGAUAUCACAGUUGGGGAACUGUACACGGUACUUAGAAUGGGAGUGUUAAGAUUUUACCUGUGCACCAAGAGCCUGACAGAUGAGGAUGGUGAUACAUCUGAUUUAAACAAUGAUGAACAAUUGAGAGACACACAUGAAGAAGAUGAACAAUUUACUCAAACUGUUGUCAUAUUGUCAAAAGAUUUAAAGGAUGUUGAUGUAGAUGCAUUAUCAGACACAUCUGAGGUGAUGUUUGGCCCCUUCCUUGGAGAACUCAUGACUAGUCAGAUGGAGGACACUUUGAUAUAGCAACCCAGCCUACAGUUUGAAGGAGAUGAGCUGGUCAUCACGCUUCCCCCAACAAGCACAGCACCCGUUACUCCAGACACAACAUCUGUUGGUGAUGAGUCAAGGACUUCUACUGCUUCAUAUGAUGUUGUGUGUGUCACAAUAAAGCUUCACAGGGUCAAUCUUCUGGAGGAGAUGAUUAACCAGUUCAAGGAUCCAGCACUCCUCAAACACCCCCUAAAAUACACCUACAUAGAUGAAAAAGAAGCUGACGCAGAUGGUGUCUCAAGGGAUGUGUAUGUUACAUUUUGGUUUGGCUGGUUUGGAGUUUAUGGACCACACAGCUGAAGGGGAGGACCUGAGGGUUCCAUCACUGUCUCCUAAAUGGCAGGAAGAAGAGUGGAAAUCCAUUGGCCGAAUUCUACUCAAGGGAUUUCAAGAUCAUGGAAACUUUCCGUGUCGGCUUGCCCCUGUUUUCACAGUGGCACUUAUUUUUGGUGAGAAAGAAGUCUCAGAUGAUAUGCUGUUUGAAAAUCUUCUCCUGUACAUAAAUCAGUCAGAUAGGGAUCUGAUUACCACUGCCUUAAAAGAAGAUCUUUUAGAUGAGGACAGGGAUGAACUACUUGAUCUUUUGGACCGCUUGGAUGUAACAGUACUUCCAACUCGAGACUUGAUCCAAAAACCAAGAUAUGCAGCAGAAAAAAUGUCAUUAAUUGCUAGCCCCUUCCUAAAAGAAGCAUCUGUGAGCCCACAGCAUGUCCUGCGAAUGUAUGAAGAUAAAAAGCCAACAACAAGGAAGCUUUUGAAGUUGCUGGAUGCAUCUCCUGCAACGCAAGCAGAGAACCAGAGCUUUCAUUUUCUGCAACAGUACAUCAGAGGACUGGAUGAUGCAGGACUGAGAAGGAUGUUAAGGUUUGUCACAGGGUCAGAUAUUAUCUGUGUCAACAAGAUUGAGGUCCUGUUCACACCAGUAGAUGGUCUGGCACGGCGACCAGUAGCACACACUUAUGGGCCAGCUCUGGAACUGCCAUGGACAUACACUUCCUACCCAGAACUACGCACUGAAAUGGACAGUAUACUGGUCGCUAAAAGUUCCGCAUAGCUUAGGUCAAUUUCAUUUUUUCAGGGCCAAGCCUAUUAAUGAAGAGGGCUGAUGAAUCCAUUAUAUGUGAAUGGUUAGAUCCAUUCAGCACAUACACACAAGGCAAAGCAUAGUAACAUGAAAAAGAAAAGGAGUUGCAUUUGGAGUGAAUAUACAUGUCUGCCAUCAAGGAACUAAAGGAUUCCAAUACUGAAUGUUUCAAUGACAAAGACAGAGGGCUUUUUAAAAUAAGAAGUUGAGAUGUUUUGAACAAUAGUAAAAUAUGUAAUCAACAAUGCUGCGUUUGCAGUAUCGUUUGAGGGUACUGUUAGACCUCAUUUCUAAGUUUUAACUGUCAGAGUAAUAUUUGCUAAGUACAUUGGAAACAAUAAAGUACCUGUCUGUGCUUGAUAGCUGGACGUGCACGUAAUGUUUAGAAAUGUAGAAAUACACACAGCUUUUUAUUAUCGUUUGUUCUAUACAGGUAUGUUCCUUUUUAAAGCUGUGUGUGUGUGCGUGUGUGCUGGUGAGUUGAGGGAGUGAGUGAUUGGGUUGAUUAUGUACUGCUAUUGCUUUUUGUUUUCUUAACUUGCUUUUGUCAAGUUUAGCUACACCAGUUGUACUGACCUAAACAGCAGUCUAUAGUUUCGGACAUCAAAUUUUAUUUGCUGCUGUUUGUUCAAAGCAGGCAUGUUCUUUUUUUGUUUUUUAAAAGCUGUUUCUGUUACCUGUUGAUGAGUUCCCACAGAAAGCAGUGAGUACAAGAUCUGAUGUGUGUGUGAGAGAGAGAGAGAGAGAGAGAGAGAGAGAAUGAGUGUGUGGGUUGGUGAGGGCCGAUGAUUUGUAUUUGUACUGCUGUAUUUUUUGUACUUGUUUUUAACAAGUUUUAGUAAGAGUAAUUGCACUGACCUUAACAGAAACCUAUGGUUUUAGACUUGAGUUUUUGGGUAGACACAUCACUUUGUGACGUUGCUGUGCUGCUCUGCAUGUUGUUACUACAUAAAUACAAAAGUAAAUGCACAGUUGCACCUUUCAACCUGAAUAUUCACUUUAGGUCAUUUUCUGGCAGAUGUUUGUUUCCUCCUAUGUUUUAUUAUUAUGUAUAUCCAUAGGGGGUGGAGCUUGAGCCAUUAAAGCAUAUCAAGAAUCAAUACCUCUUGCUUUUGUUCUCUAUAAAUGAAAUAAUUAAAAAAGAAGUUACUUGA